CAGCGGAGCGUGUGGUUUAAUUCGACGCGACGCGAAGAACCUUACCAGGGUUUGACAUCGCGCUGUAACCUGGGGAAACCAUCUCCGGGCGACAGAUGUGACGAGCGCAACCCUCGGGGCUAGUUAGGGAUGUCAAGUAGCACGGCUCUGACAUCCUGGCGACAUACAUGGACGCGACACGGGACGCCAAGCCGCAAGGCGGAGCAUCCCAUCAAAGGCGUCCUCAGUUCAGAUCGGCGUGCAACCCGACGCCGUGAAGGCGGAGUUGCUAGUAACCGGGGUCAGCACACCGCGGUGAAUACGUUCCCGGGCCUUGUACACACCGCCGUCACGUCAUGAAAGCCGACAACACCUGAAGCCGCUGGCCCAACGCGCAAGCGGGGGAGGCGUCGAGGUGGGGUGGGUGAUUGGGACGAAGUCGUACAAGGU
rnacentral:rRNA from 1 species